rnacentral:lncRNA from 13 species
UCCGAGCAUUUACGAAAACGGGGGCUCCGGCUGGGGGGGUCUCGGCGCACGAAGAGAGCUCUCUCGUUUCCUCGCCGUCGUUUCCUCAGUGAAAAUGCCGCCGCGAUAGAGAGCCGCGCGUGCCGUGUGCUCUACUCGAGCUCUCUGGUCUCGCGCCUCCUCCCCCGCUCGUGACACAAGAGUCCGGCCGUCUAUUAUCGAAGAGGCUUUCGCACUCUCGCGAGACGAACGCUGCCCCGCUAAUUAAUCGCACGCUAAUCAAUCGCACGCGUGCCGCCCGCGACUUGAUCUCGUCUCUUUCUCCCGCUAUCGUCUCUCCGUCGUUUCCCUCUUCCAGUGCAUCUCCUUCUCUCGGUCUCCUUCGUAAGUCCUUAUCACCGCCCUCCUUCCUUCCUUCCUACCCCUUUUCUUCGUCGCUUCUACACGCGCGAUACACGCACGCCGUGCGAGCGUACUACACGACUUGACAGUCCGCGAGUGUCACGGACCGGAUCGCUUUUCGCGCCCGCGACUGUGGACGCGCCGCCGCUUCCGGAGAACGGCGCACAGGUGUAGUCAGAAAGAAGCGUGAACCAUUGAUCUGGAGUAAAUUAUAACAUUUUCGUUUAUAACAUUGCGACAUGUCAAUCGGAUGUUAAAUGUCCAGCAUGACGGGAAAGGGUGCUGCUGACAUAAAGGGUGCUACCGGAAUAGCAAUGGCCGGAAUAGCAACGGCCUAUGCCAUCGUAACUGCGGUUGCAGGUCUCAUGGAAGAUGUUGGGAGUCGCCCUUCGAUCGCGGGACACAAGUGCACCUACCGUUCGUUACUCUUUACACCUGUGCUCACACGUAACGACUCGGCAUUCCGAGUGUGCGUGCGUCACGACGUAUUGUGAAACUCCUGCACGGGCGUAAACUGACUGCGAGUGUGAUGUGUGCAUAACGUGGAAAAAAAAAAAUUUGACCGAAAUAGUCGCAGCUGGGCGACGCACGAUUGCGGCUCACGACCUUUUUCGAGGCGACCGCGGAGAUUUCUACUGCACGCAGAAAUGAGGGACAAGGCCACGAUCACGACGCUAAAAUAACGAUAUCGCUCUGCGAUACUUAUACGGCGUCGAGCUGAAGCAAAUGAGAAGGACAGGAUAUUUAAUUUUACUUCGUGCUACUAUCUUGUUGAAGGUAUUCUUAUUAAACAAGACAAAAAUAAGAAGUCCCACAUUUACAUUUUGUUGCUUCUUGACGACUGUAAGGAUUUUUAUUUUUUUAGUAAGAAGAUAACUUCGAGUUAAUUAAACAGCUUCCCUUAUAUCUUUGUGUCACUAAGAAAAAACACUUCGUUAAAUAACGAAGAAGAUAAAAUGGCAAAAUAAAAUGUUCUACUUAAA